ensembl:lncRNA
CCUCAAGCUGGAUGUGUCUCUGUGGAGCCCCUGAUAUUGAAUAAAGACGUGUCACACAGAAAAUAGCUGUGCUUUAAUAUGCAGCAGCAGUACAAACGUCUCUUCUCCCUGAAGGCAUUAGAUUUGAGCGUGCCACAUCCCCUUGUUCAAUGGCCUGGUCUACAUGGAAACAGUCCAACGGGGAUGAGAGGAGGCUUGUCACUGGAUUGUAGGGAAGGUGAUCCAGAGUCAGGCUUUGUAUUUUGUGUCUCUAGUCGAACAUCGUCUGCUGUUUUCAUGCAAGUGUUAUCAGCAACGCAAACGUGUGAAGUUUUGUCCAAAUAUUUUAAUCCCAGUCUCCGAGUUAACUGCAAGAAAAUUAAAAUAUCCGGUUUGAGGCACGCAGGCGGACCCAAAAGCUGAGCGCCUUCUGAGGUAGACUGUUGUGGUUUAAAUAACAGACAGGGGGAGAACUUAAAUACCCAAGGACCAGAGCGAGAUAACGAGGGAGAGGUGACAUCAGGGCGGAAGCAACAGGUGAAAGAAUCAAGCGGGAAUCAAACAGGUGAAAGAAUCAAGCGGGAAUCAAACCAAGGCAACAUGCAGCGAUACAAGAGGAGAGACUUUAGCGAAUAAAAACUACAUGGAUGUUCAAUAUGACACCUCUCUCGCUAAAAAUCUCUACCGGUUCACGUUUUCAACCCACAGCAGUGCUUUCUUUGUUUCCACCAGCCAGUUAAUUGCAUUGUCUUUGUGUCCCAGGCCCAAAGCAGUCCUUCGUUAGCUGGGCAAAAUGAAAGACCAGUGUGAUACAAACAGUAACUGACUCUCCCUCGCUGACGUCUCUUUUUCUCCCAACCUUUAAUCCUGUGACCAGCGGCACUAUGGCUCCCGCUCCGCCACGUGCACAGUUUUCCCGGUGAGGAUGAAAGUGCCUGCAGGGGGCCAUGCAAAUCCCCUAUUGAACCCCACCGGAGAUCCCCAUAGAGAUGCUGGGCAUGAGCCUGCCCCGGGGUUUUUCUCCCAGCGACGGUGCAACACCUCUUGGGCCCAGAGAAAGGGACGGCCGAGCGGCGGGGUGUGUUGGCGCUGCGUGUUAAAGCGAGCCGCUGUGAUCGUGAGUGGCAGGAGGGAGACAACGGAGAAGGAACGGGACGGCGGGGCCCUGUGACAAGAGCUGUAAUGGACGGACGUGACGCUGGAGUUGUUUUGGAGAGGAAUUCUUUGGUGUGUGGGAGUCCCUCCCUCCCGCUGCACAUGAACUGAUCGAGUCCUGCUGUGUCAGGGGAGCCACACCUCGUCCUCGUGUACAGUCUCCCACCAUUGUCCUUACAAAUCCCCUGAGAAGGCUGUCUCUGUGUGGACGUGUGUAUGUGUGUCCUUCCUUCUCUGCCUUCUAAGCAAACAUUCAGUGAAUAACCUGUUGUGAUAUGCCGGAGGAACAAAGAAUAUUAAGCUCUGUGUAUGAAGUUGUUUUAAUUUAACUGUACCUCUUGUAUCACGAUUGGUGUUACACAGGAGAGCCUUGUUGCAAUCGUUGUACCGUUGCUGCGGCAGCUCCGAGCCAGGCGGAAAAAAAAAAGAAACCGC